GACAGAGGAGGCGAGCGUUAUCCGGAGAUCUUGGGCGUAAAGGGUAGGUAGGCGGCUGGUCACGUCUGGGGUUAAAGACCACAGCUUAACUGUGGGGGGGCCUUGGAAACUGACCGGCUGGAGUGGGGCAGGGGUUGCGGGAAUUCCCGGUGUAGCGGUGAAAUGCGUAGAUAUCGGGAAGAACACCUGAGGCGAAAGCGCGCAACUGGGCCCUAACUGGCGCUCAGGUACGAAAGCUAGGGGAGCUAAGGGG
rnacentral:rRNA from 1 species